rnacentral:lncRNA from 1 species
AUUUACUUAAGAAGAAUCUAUGCAGCCAUAGUUGACAAAAUCAUACCACGUUUUUUGCAAUUAAGUUACCAUCUACUGGCAGUAUCCACUUAUAUUUUAGCUGAUUUUAUAAUCGGCCUUGAAAGUCUCAACAUCAUUUACAAAUGAGAUAAGACAAUCUUUCUCAGCUUGGAGACAUUACUGUGGUACAUCUUGUCUACAUCGUUCUGAGUAUUUUUUGGAGAACUAAAAUCAACGGUCAAUUAGAAAUAAACAAGUUUAGUAGGGAUAAACAUCAACUAUUUUUAAGUAAACAAUAUAAGUUACUUAGCAAGUAUGGUUGACAAACUCACAUAGAGAAAUGUGGAAGCAUAUCCACAUCCACCCAAAUGUCGAUAUUAUCUUCAGGAUGAAUAUCGAAGGUUAUUUGCAUAUCCUCCUUAAAUCCAUAUGCCUUGCCUAGAGCUUCCCAAUUUGAGCAACCAAAAUGUAAGUGAUUAACUGCAUUGUAUAGUUUAAUACAAAAUGCGUAACCAUCUUUAGUCAUCAUGUGACCUUUCCUUAUCUCCAUAUUGUCACUAUUUUGGAAAUCAAGCUUCUCCAAGAUAUACCAUCUUGCAUGAUACGGGAUGCACUAGUUGAAUUGUAAAAAAAUGGAAAUUACACGUUGAAGAAAAGAAACACAAGUCAUGAUUAAUUAAAAAAUACUUCUCAUUUUUGCGUACCGUAAAAACUUCACAGGUCUCGUCCAGCUUGGUGGUGAAGAAGCUACCAUUUUGCAGGUGAGGCCUGUCACACAUACGCUAAUCCUCGGUAUAGUAAUCACACUCAGGGAUCCUAUCGUGAUAAGACAUUUCCUGUGUUCAUGAUUCAAAGAUUAAAAAUUGAUGAUAAUUAUAGCAGGAACUAUUCACCACGGGUUGAGUUUCGGUCUGUUGAGGCUUCCUUGAAAAACUUCAAUAUCUCAUGUGUAUGGUGCGCACUACCUCACAUUGAUAUGGUGGUGUAUGUUGUGGACACUCCUCUAGGCAGAAAUUUCGACCGACGGUGCUGGUCGCUCCUUCCUUCGUCCCCGUGCGCAUUACCAAAAUGUUUAACACACGGGGAAGAAGGAGGAAGCGACCCCCAUGAAAAAAAUCAGGAUUCUUCCUAUGAUAUUUCGACCAUCGAUGCUAGUUGCUUCUUCUACAUCUCUCACGGAUUAU